UACGAAGGGGGCUAGCGUUGCUCGGAAUGACUGGGCGUAAAGGGCGCGUAGGCGGUUUGUACAGUCAGAUGUGAAAUUCCUGGGCUCAACCUGGGGGCUGCAUUUGAUGCGUGCAGGCUUGAGUGUGGAAGAGGGUCGUGGAAUUCCCAGUGUAGAGGUGAAAUUCGUAGAUAUUGGGAAGAACACCGGUGGCGAAGGCGGCAUCCUGGACCAACACUGACACUGAGGAGCGAAAGCCAGGGGAGCAAACGGG
rnacentral:rRNA from 1 species